rnacentral:lncRNA from 1 species
GUUUUUUAAAGGAUUUUGCACUUGGCCAGACAGGAGAGGAAUGCCCAUUUUCUCCCUUCCUAAGCUAGAUCCAAGUAAAAGAAGGUUCAGUUUUUCCCCAUAAAUAUUCUUGGGUGAUGAGUCUUGAUCUGAAGUUUAUUUUGUUUCAGUUCCUUGUGUGCAUCCACCAUGCUGGUCCAAAAAGUGCAUUGCUCUCCAGUUGAGCUAGACGGAGCCCUUUGGCCAGAAGUCAAUGUAUUUUGGAUGAGAUAGAUUUUCUGACAAGGUGUGUUUGUUUUCUUAUGCCAGAAGGCAGAGAAGUCAAUCCUAGUCAUUUUUCUCCUUGGAUACUAAAUUCACAUAGGUCAGCUGGCUUCCUGUAGAGCCCUGAGCUUCAUCAUUUGUGACUCCAGCUUCCACGGGACUCUGAGCCUCUCACUUGUUCUCCCCUAAUAAACAAUGACCCAGACCUAACUGUGUCUUUUAAAAAUCUCAGAUCCUCCAGGAACAUCUUUAUUGCUUCCUCAUCAGUAAUUUUGCAGCAAAUUUCUAUUUUUGUUUUUCCUUGUCUGUUCUCCCAGCCACCAGUUGAUAGACAGAUGAACUGGUGGAUAAAUGUUUGGUGUGAUGGAUAGAUAGAUACAGACGACAGACAGAACCAGUACUCUGAAGCAACUUAAGAACUAUGGCCUUGAUUUCUUGAAGCUGUAGGUUCUGAUCCAGGAAACAUUUAUUUAGCACCUGCUGCCAGAAAUUUAUUAUACCAUUUCAAACUCAAUAGCAC